rnacentral:rRNA from 1 species
GACGAACGCUGGCGGCGUGCCUAAUACAUGCAAGUUGAGCGAUGAAGAUUGGUGCUUGCACCAAUUUGAAGAGCAGCGAACGGGUGAGUAACGCGUGGGGAAUCUGCCUUUGAGCGGGGGACAACAUUUGGAAACGAAUGCUAAUACCGCAUAACAACUUUAAACAUAAGUUUUAAGUUUGAAAGAUGCAAUUGCAUCACUCAAAGAUGAUCCCGCGUUGUAUUAGCUAGUUGGUGAGGUAAAGGCUCACCAAGGCGAUGAUACAUAGCCGACCUGAGAGGGUGAUCGGCCACAUUGGGACUGAGACACGGCCCAAACUCCUACGGGAGGCAGCAGUAGGGAAUCUUCGGCAAUGGACGAAAGUCUGACCAAGCAACGCCGCGUGAGUGAAGAAGGUUUUCGGAUCGUAAAACUCUGUUGGUAGAGAAGAACGUUGGUGAGAGUGGAAAGCUCAUCAAGUGACGGUAACUACCCAGAAAGGGACGGCUAACUACGUG